rnacentral:rRNA from 1 species
AGAGUUUGAUCCUGGCUCAGGAUGAACGCUAGCGGCAGGCUUAACACAUGCAAGUCGAGGGGCAGCGGGGAGGAAGCUUGCUUUCUCCGCCGGCGACCGGCGCACGGGUGAGUAACACGUAUGCAACCUGCCCCUGUCAGGGGGACAACCCGCCGAAAGGCGGGCUAAACCCGCGUACAUGCCACCGGGGCAUCCCGGAGGGCAGGAAAGGCUUCGGCCGGACAGGGAUGGGCAUGCGGCGGCAUUAGGCAGUAGGCGGGGUAACGGCCCACCUAACCGACGAUGCGUAGGGGUUCUGAGAGGAAGGUCCCCCACACUGGUACUGAGACACGGACCAGACUCCUACGGGAGGCAGCAGUGAGGAAUAUUGGUCAAUGGUCGGGAGGCUGAACCAGCCAAGCCGCGUGAGGGAGGAAGGUACAGAGUAUCGUAAACCUCUUUUGUCAGGGAACAAAGACGGGGACGCGUCCCCGGAUGAGUGUACCUGAAGAAAAAGCAUCGGCUAACUCCGUGCCAGCAGCCGCGGUAAUACGGAGGAUGCGAGCGUUAUCCGGAUUUAUUGGGUUUAAAGGGUGCGCAGGCGGUCUGUUAAGUCAGCGGUCAAAGCCCGGGGCUCAACCCCGGCCCGCCGUUGAAACUGGCAGUCUCGAGUUGGAGAGAAGUAUGCGGAAUGCGCGGUGUAGCGGUGAAAUGCAUAGAUAUCGCGCAGAACUCCGAUUGCGAAGGCAGCAUGCCGGCUCCACACUGACGCUGAGGCACGAAAGCGUGGGUAUCGAACAGGAUUAGAUACCCUGGUAGUCCACGCAGUAAACGAUGAAUGCUGGCUGUCCGGGGGGGACUGACCCCUGGGUGGCGAAGCGAAAGCGAUAAGCAUUCCACCUGGGGAGUACGCCGGCAACGGUGAAACUCAAAGGAAUUGACGGGGGCCCGCACAAGCGGAGGAACAUGUGGUUUAAUUCGAUGAUACGCGAGGAACCUUACCCGGGCUCAAACGGGGAGUGGCGCAGGCAGAGACGCCUGUUUCCCACGGGACACUCCCCGAGGUGCUGCAUGGUUGUCGUCAGCUCGUGCCGUGAGGUGUCGGCUUAAGUGCCAUAACGAGCGCAACCCCCGCGUGCAGUUGCUAACAGAUAACGCUGAGGACUCUGCACGGACUGCCGGCGCAAGCCGCGAGGAAGGCGGGGAUGACGUCAAAUCAGCACGGCCCUUACGUCCGGGGCGACACACGUGUUACAAUGGGUGGUACAGCGGGAAGCCAGGCGGCGACGCCGAGCGGAACCCGAAAUCCACUCUCAGUUCGGAUCGGAGUCUGCAACCCGACUCCGUGAAGCUGGAUUCGCUAGUAAUCGCACAUCAGCCAUGGCGCGGUGAAUACGUUCCCGGGCCUUGCACACACCGCCCGUCA